rnacentral:rRNA from 1 species
UACGUAGGGUGCGCGCGUUAAUCGGAAUUACUGGGCGUAGAGUGUGCGCAGGCUGCAGAGCAAGUCGAGUGUGAAAGCCCCGGGCUUAACUUGGGAAUUGCGCUCGAAACUACUUUGCUGGAGUGUGGCAGAGGAAGGUGGAAUUCCACGUGUAGCGGUGAAAUGCGUAGAGAUGUGGAGGAACACCAAUGGCGAAGGCAGCCUUCUGGGCCAACACUGACGCUCAUGCACGAAAGCGUGGGGAGCAAACAGG